rnacentral:rRNA from 1 species
AACGAACGCUGGCGGCAUGCCUAACACAUGCAAGUCGAACGAGACCUUCGGGUCUAGUGGCGCACGGGUGCGUAACGCGUGGGAACCUGCCCUUAGGUUUGGAAUAACUCCCCGAAAGGGGUGCUAAUACCGGAUAAUGUCUUCGGACCAAAGAUUUAUCGCCUUUGGAUGGGCCCGCGUUGGAUUAGCUAGUUGGUAGGGUAAAAGCCUACCAAGGCGACGAUCCACAGCUGGUCUGAGAGGAUGAUCAGCCACACUGGGACUGAGACACGGCCCAGACUCCUACGGGAGGCAGCAGUGGGGAAUAUUGGACAAUGGGCGAAAGCCUGAUCCAGCAAUGCCGCGUGAGUGAUGAAGGCCUUAGGGUUGUAAAGCUCUUUUACCCGGGAUGAUAAUGACAGUACCGGGAGAAUAAGCUCCGGCUAACUCCGUG